rnacentral:rRNA from 1 species
UACGGAGGGUGCAAGCGUUGCUCGGAAUUAUUGGGCGUAAAGGGCAGGUAGGUGGUCUCAUUUGUCUUGGGUGAAAUCCUUGGGCUUAACCUAAGAAGUGCCUAAGAAACGGUGAGACUAGAGUGCUAGAGAGGGUCGUGGAAUUCCUGGUGUAGCGGUGAAAUGCGUAGAUAUCAAGUGGAACACCAGUGGCGAAGGCGAGUCCCUGGACAAUUCCUGACACUGAGGCACGAAAGCUAGGGGAGCAAACAGG